rnacentral:misc_RNA from 1 species
AAGUCGUAACAAGGUUUCCGUAGGUGAACCUGCGGAAGGAUCAUUAACGAAUAACUAUGGCGUUGGUUGUAGCUGGCUCCUCGGAGCAAUGUGCACGCCCGCCAUUUUUAUCUUUCCACCUGUGCACCGACUGUAGGUCUGGAUACCUCUCGCCUCUGGGCGGAUGCGAGGGUUGCUCGUAAGGGCUUCCCUUGAACUUCCAGGCUCUACGUCUUUUUACACACCCCAAUAGUAUGAUGCAGAAUGUAGUCAAUGGGCUUCUCAGCCUAUAAAACACUAUACAACUUUCAGCAACGGAUCUCUUGGCUCUC